AUUUGGGGAAGCAGGGGUCACCUUGAGGUGGUUUGGUGCCUGCCUCUCAGGUCUUUGCUAGAGUUAGAAAUAAUAGGGUUUAAAUUGGUGUUUACUGAGAUAAUUACACAUCUCACAUGCUGAAUGUACCACUAUGGAUUAGAAUGAGAAAUUUAGUUAUACUUCAAAGAUUUUAUUUAUUUUUUUACUCUUUGCGAUCUCAUACGUGCAUUUGAAUCAUACCCAUCCCCAAUUCUUGUUUCCCUCUUCCCUUAGGUGUCCCUCUCACCUUCAUGUCUUUCAUUCUGUUUUACAAGCUAACUCUUUGUGUGUUUUCUGAUCAACAGCAUUCUUUAACCCAUUUCAUCUACUUUGGAAAAGACUUCCCACCUUCUGUCCCCCCCAAAGCCAGUUGUGUACCUGAUGUCUACCUACACUGCCUUUAAGGCUGUUUUUCCUAAGUGUGUCCUGUGGAUUUGGUGGAAAUCUGUUCAACUUUCUUGGCAUGGUACAGUGCCUGAAGAGUAUAAAAUGAACAACAGAAGUGAGGGUUAAAUUUAUUACAUUUCUAAAAUUUGAAGUAGUAAUUUUUCUGCUUUUUUUCUCUUCUUUCUGCUCUAACACCAGGGCCAGUGUCCUUAUUAUCCUUGUGGAGUAACAGAAUAAACACUGCCAAUUCCAGAAAGCACCAGGAGUUUGCUGGGCGUUUGAACUCUGUCAAUAACAGAGCAGAGCUGUAUCAACACCUUAAGGAGGAAAAUGGGUUUGUGUAAUUUCCUGUGGAAACUGCUUUGUUGAUUGUGUAGUCCUGUAAUGAAACUGCUUGCUUUUGGUCAGCAGUUUUGUACUACUCUUAUGAUUUAAUACUUAUAUUGCCUCUAAGGAGAAAGAUAUUAACCUGUUAGACCCUUGGCGCUCACAAAGGCCCAGUUUAUUGAUUGUAAUUAUGAAGCUGUGUGCAUUAUAUUUUCAGGGGGAUAAAAACCACACACUGAAUCUAUGUAAUGUUAAAGAUUUAGAAUAAAUUUCAGACAUGAUUAUUUUAAUCGGUUGUUUUAAGAAGAUAUAUUCCUAUAGUACACUGUUAAAGGCAUUCCUUUUGUAGAAAUCUUUGACUAAAUGGAGGAGACUUCCGUUUUCUUCUGUUUUCUUCUCUUGGAGAAGGGUGAGGGAUAGGGAGGGGACCUUAGGGAAGCGCCCUGAUGUUUACAGGCUCACCUUUCUCUCGUGUGCACAGUGAGGAGGUUGGACUGACUGGAGGACCCCGAACUGCAAUCCCUUUCUUAAAGUGCCCACGUUCUCCUGUUGUGAAUAGGUUAGAUUUUAGUUCCAAUGGGUAAAAGUAGAUAAAACUACUACUAAAUUGCUACUAAAUAUUUUAUCACCGUCUCACUUUCCUUCUUCUAAAUUUUUCAGGAUGGAGACAACAGAAAAUGGGAAAGCCAGCCGCCAGUGAAGAGUGACUUGAGAAACCAAAUUUAGAAUAUUGUGAAAAAUAUUUUGGGCAGAAUUUGAUAUAAGUACUUUUACAGCAAGAUUGUAUAGCUAUGUUGUCUGGACUGGUUUUUACAUUUUUAGAGAAUUUCAAUGAAUUAUCUUUUUUGUACUAAUUCUGAGAUUGGCAGAGUCAAAAUAUAUACAUUGGAGAUUUGCCCUCCCAGACCACACAGUUUAUUUUAUGGUAAAAGGUGUUCCCUCUGGAAAUGUUUUUUUAAAAACUCUUAGGCUUCUCUUUGCCAAAUAAAACUAUUAAAAUGUUUG
rnacentral:lncRNA from 1 species